rnacentral:rRNA from 1 species
UACCAGCACCCCCGAGUGGUCGGGACGUUUUAUUGGGCCUAAAGCAUCCGUAGCCGGUUCUACAAGUCUUCCGUUAAAAUCCACCUGCUCAACAGAUGGGCUGCGGAAGAUACUAUGGAGCUAGGAGGCGGGAGAGGCAAGCGGUACUCGAUGGGUAGGGGUAAAAUCCGUUGAUCCAUUGAAGACCACCAGUGGCGAAGGCGGCUUGCCAGAACGCGCUCGACGGUGAGGGAUGAAAGCUGGGGGGAGCAAACCGG